rnacentral:lncRNA from 1 species
GGAGCGUCAAAAAGAAGCAUGGAGGCAUAAACAGAAAUAGGAGCCACCACUUGAUAAGCUUAAACUUUGGUCUUUCAUCAGAAGCAGGGAGAAAGAGCAAAGAAAACAGCUAGAGAAACCACCGAUAACUUAUUACAAAAGGUAGAUAACAAAGCAGGCAGCUAAGAAGAGGAAGAAAAGUGGCUCAACUGUUCCUCAACUCAGACAGCAAUCCAAACAAUCAGUUGCUCCGCUUGUGGUGC